rnacentral:rRNA from 1 species
CUCGUAGGCGGUCUGUUGCGUCCGCUGUGAAAUCUCGGGGCUUAACCCCGAGCCUGCAGUGGAUACGGGCAGACUAGAGGUAGGUAGGGGAGAAUGGAAUUCCUGGUGUAGCGGUGAAAUGCGCAGAUAUCAGGAGGAACACCGGUGGCGAAGGCGGUUCUCUGGGCCUUACCUGACGCUGAGGAGCGAAAGCGUGGGGAGCGAACA